GUCCUUUAGGAAAAAAUUAAAGGUCUAAUCUGCCCAAUGAUGUUUGAAUGGCCGCGGUAACUUGACCGUGCAAAGGUAGCAUAAUUAUUAGUCUUUUAAUUGAAGGCUUGAAUGAAAGAUUGGAUGAAAAAUAAACUUUAUUAAUAAAUAUUAUUUAAUUUAUCAUUUAAGUAAAAAUUCUUAAAUAUAUAAGUGGGACGAGAAGACCCUAUAGAGUUUUAUAUUUAUUUUUAUUAUGAAUUUUAAGAAUUAAUAUUUUUAUAAUAUAAAUAAAUAUUUUAUUGGGGUGAUAUUAAAAAUUACUGAACUUUUAAUUAACAUUUCAUUAAUAUAUGAAUUUUUGAUCCAAAAUAAUUUUUGAUUAUAAGAUUAAAUUACCUUAGGGAUAACAGCGUUAUUAAUUUGAAGAGUUCAAAUCGAUAAAUUAGUUUGCGACCUCGAUGUUGGAUUAAGAAUAAAUUUUGAAGAAGUAUUUAAGAUUGUAGGUCUGUUCGACCUUUAAAUUCUUACGUGAUCUGAG
rnacentral:rRNA from 1 species